rnacentral:tRNA from 1 species
CGCAGGGUGGAGCGGCUCGGUUAGCUCGCCGGAUUCAUGAUCCGGAGGUCGCAGGUUCAAAUCCUGCCCCUGCCA